rnacentral:rRNA from 1 species
AUGUCCUCCUCAAGCUCCCGCGCCACCUCGUGGAUGCAGAGCCGGGCGCGUGUGGACAUGCCUGUCUUCGUCUGUCCACGGUGCCGGUCGGGCGUUGUUCGGAGGGUUUCUCACACACCGAGGAACCAGAAUCGUCCGUUCUACGUGUGCAUCGAGAAUGGGGUGGCAUGCUUCUUUCUUUGGGUCGAUGCUCUGGCCAAGACUCUGAUGAAUGAACUACAAGAAGAGCAUGAAGAAUGGUUGUGCAUGCUGCCAUGAACGACAGUGGCUGCAGCAUCCUAA